rnacentral:rRNA from 1 species
AACGAACGCUGGCGGCAGGCUUAACACAUGCAAGUCGAACGAGAUCUUCGGAUCUAGUGGCAGACGGGUGAGGAACACGUGGGAACAUCCCUUUCAGUUCGGAAUAACGUUGGGAAACUAACGCUAAUACCGGAUACGUCCUUCGGGAGAAAGAUUUAUCGCUGAAAGAUUGGCCCGCGUCUGAUUAGCUAGUUGGUGAGGUAACGGCUCACCAAGGCUACGAUCAGUAGCUGAUCUGAGAGGAUGAUCAGCCACAUUGGGACUGAGACACGGCCCAAACUCCUACGGGAGGCAGCAGUGGGGAAUAUUGGACAAUGGGCGCAAGCCUGAUCCAGCCAUGCCGCGUGAGUGAUGACGGCCUUCGGGUUGUAAAGCUCUUUUGUCCGGGAAGAUAAUGACUGUACCGGAAGAAUAAGCCCCGGCAAACUUCGUGCCAGCCGCCGCCGUAACAC